CGCAGGAGACGCGGCCAUUCUGACCCGGGUCAGAAUAACGAAGCGCUAUUUUCACGAGGGUCGCAGUAGGGCCGGCCAACGCUUUACCCCACCUACCGUCUCCUGCCACCCGCGCGCAGGAGACGCGGCCAUUGGUGAAGUGUCAUCUCGUCCGAGACGGCGGCGGAUUGCCGAAAAUGUACGAAACGUUCAUGUGCUGCAGACUGGCUGGGCUAUGCUCCUUCAAGGAUUCAGAAAUGCAGCCGAGCGACAUCGGAGCCUGCAUGCCAGAUGUGUCCAUCAGGGAAGAGGAUUCAUCAGAUUAUUAGUGUUCAUAUCGGGGACAAUAAAGUGUUCUUCCAUA
rnacentral:lncRNA from 1 species